UGCCUUUGUUUCAGGAGGACUAACUAUGC
rnacentral:piRNA from 1 species